GAUGAACGCUGGCGGCGUGCCUAAUACAUGCAAGUCGAGCGAACAGACGAGGAGCUUGCUCCUCUGACGUUAGCGGCGGACGGGUGAGUAACACGUGGAUAACCUACCUAUAAGACUGGGAUAACUUCGGGAAACCGGAGCUAAUACCGGAUAAUAUAUUGAACCGCAUGGUUCAAUAGUGAAAGACGGUUUUGCUGUCACUUAUAGAUGGAUCCGCGCCGCAUUAGCUAGUUGGUAAGGUAACGGCUUACCAAGGCAACGAUGCGUAGCCGACCUGAGAGGUGAUUCGCCCACCCGGAAACUGAGACACGGUCCAAACCCCAAGGGGAGGCGGCGGUAGGAAUCUUCCGCAAUGGGCGAAAGCCUGACGGAGCAACGCCGCGUGAGUGAUGAAGGUCUUCGGAUCGUAAAACUCUGUUAUUAGGGAAGAACAAAUGUGUAAGUAACUAUGCACGUCUUGACGGUACCUAAUCAGAAAGCCACGGCUAACUACGUG
rnacentral:rRNA from 1 species